CAAUAGCGUAUAUUAAAGUUGUUGCAGUUAAAAAGCUCGUAGUUGGAUUUCUGCGAGGGUGCCAAUGUCCGCCGACGCGCGUGCGCAGCGGCGCCCUCGCAUCCUUCUGUUACCACCUCUCGGCAUUCACUUGCCGGUGGUCGGCUCAGAGAAUUUACCUUGAGAAAAUUAGAGUGUUUCAGGCAGGCUAGGCCGGAAUACAUUAGCAUGGAAUAAUGGAAUAGGACUACGGUCUCGUUGUUGGUUUGAGGGACUGCAGUAAUGAUUAAUAGGGAUAGUUGGGGGCAUUAGUAUUUAAUUGUCAGAGGUGAAAUUCUUGGAUUUAUGAAAGACGAACUACUGCGAAAGCAUUUGCCAAGGAUGUUUUCAUUAA
rnacentral:rRNA from 1 species